GUAGUGGUCUCAUUCCUGUUGGUAUCAACACUGGAAUAUUACAGAGAAGAUUAGCAUAGCCUCUUGCAAAGAUGCCUCACAAAUUUGUAAACUUGCUAUAUUUUU
ensembl:snRNA U6 U6 spliceosomal RNA